rnacentral:rRNA from 1 species
GAUGAACGCUGGCGGCGUGCCUAAUACAUGCCAGUCGAGCGAACAGACGAGGAGCUUGCUCCUCUGACGUUAGCGGCGGACGGGUGAGUAACACGUGGAUAACCUACCUAUAAGACUGGGAUAACUUCGGGAAACCGGAGCUAAUACCGGAUAAUAUAUUGAACCGCAUGGUUCAAUAGUGAAAGACGGUUUUGCUGUCACUUAUAGAUGGAUCCGCGCCGCAUUAGCUAGUUGGUAAGGUAACGGCUUACCAAGGCAACGAUGCGUAGCCGACCUGAGAGGGUGAUCGGCCACACUGGAACUGAGACACGGUCCAGACUCCUACGGGAGGCAGCAGUAGGGAAUCUUCCGCAAUGGGCGAAAGCCUGACGGAGCAACGCCGCGUGAGUGAUGAAGGUCUUCGGAUCGUAAAACUCUGUUAUUAGGGAAGAACAAAUGUGUAAGUAACUAUGCACGUCUUGACGGUACCUAUUCAGAAAGCCACGGCUAACUACGUG